CGGACCUCCACAUGCAGAGGAGAUCCCGUUCUUCUGCAGGUCAACUGCGCCUCCCGUGGACGGUCAUCUCCACUGGAGCCAUUGCAUCAUCCCACCUCCCAGCGCUCAGGCCGUUCGCCGCUGCCAAAUCCGGCUGUUCAACGAUGUAGCACCAGGAGGUCCAGCGCCUCAACCCCUCCGAAUCCCAUGUACUGACGCUCAUCUUCUGCUUCCUUCUUCAACCCGGUGAUGUCGAGUACAUGGUGCGCUGCCACCAGCUUGAUUCCACUUGGGCUUUGUCUGCCAUGUUUUUGUGCGUGUGUGCUAUGUGUCUUAUUUGUGUGGUGACUGAACUUGUGCCUCGGAUUAUUUUGAACUGCUGCUUCUACAUUUGUUCGGUCCAUUUAGUCUCUAUUUGACUUCUCUUACAUUGUAUCCUGUAGGGGUACAAAAGUUUUCCGAAACAUUGUUCCUGUUAAUGUCUAUAAGAGUUGUUGUUCAGCAGAUUUCUGGUCGUAGUCAGGUGGAGACAGGGUUUGGCUCUGUGUUAAGACGAGAGGUUGCCACACAAUAAAUUGAGAUUUGCAUGUGUACUUUGACAUUGGUUUUCUCCUAGAUUGUGUUUUUGAUUUUGUUUACGUGAGAAAACAAUCUGUAUUGUAGAAGUUCAUUUCUUAUUGCCCGAGAGUUCAUGUAUUACUACCAAAAAAUUGACAUUUCAGAACACCAAUAGGAAAAAACAGCCAGCAGAAGUCCGUUCAGCAGUGGCGAGGCCGUUCAGUGACGCGAACCAAGGUCGUUCACUGGAUCGGGGUCAUCCCGUCGAUCCCCUCUUCGGCGCGCGCUGCUCGGCCUCCCACCAUGCAAGUCCACCGCUCGUUGCGUGCUGCCACUGUCGGGGCCGGCGAGACCCACCCGCCCACCUCCUGUCCCCGCCUGUGGCCGCUUAUGAAGUCCAGCCUGACUAGCCUAUUCACUAUCCCUGGAUACUGCCAAGCUGCACCAACACUUUUAGUUCCUAUUCCUCUCAGACUCGGUGUGCUCUACGGACGGGGAGGCAUGGAGCUGUCGACUAGUAUGGGAGGCGAGCUGCUACUGCGUUUUAGGCGACCUGUGAAGUGGUUAGUGAGUAGAGUGGUCGCUGCAUCCUGGGAGUAUGAGCUCAAAUCUUGGUCCGGUCUUUGCUAUUUGAACACAUGAUAUUACUCACCAGUUCAAGUGUACCUGCAGAUGGGAGAGAGCUCUAUGAGAUUUUGCAAGAACAAGACCGCAAUUUUAUAAAUUUGCCACUUGUUUAAAUAUUGGAUUUGGAGAUGGGGAGGCAGUCCAGCACCCAGUUCGGUGCUCUGGGAGAAACUGAAGAGCUUCCUGGGUAUAAACAAGCAGAGAAGCUUCAAUUUCCUGUCCAUGGAGAAGCAUCAGAGUUUCGAGGGGAGGAGGAGCAGGGACAACCCUGGAAAGAAGAGGGUGAUAGCGCACCACCUCGCGGCAAGGACCGGCAAUAUCUGCCAUGUUCGACAAAUGGUGCAGUUGUUCCGUUUGCCUCAUUCAAUUUGGUCCAUAGACUGUUGCCAUUUGAUAUAAGUGACAAAGAACAACUUAAACAGAAGAAACUAUUGUUGUUGUUCAGUACAGAGUACUACCGAACAUCAAGCUCAAUCUUGCCCGCUUUGAUGCUAUGUACGAGUGGAUAAGAUAGACACUGUGUUUGAUGCUAUGGAACAAUGGAUAAGGUGGAUAAGGUGGCUAAUAAAAUUUUUGGGAGAUGGAUAAUAAAGGUGUGUGGUAGAAAACCACUCGUACACUUCUUUUAGGAAAAAAAGGGUACACAAAAAUUAUACUUUGUUCAUUGCAUAUACACGUACUCUGAUUCAAUUUGA